rnacentral:rRNA from 1 species
UACGUAGGGCGCAAGCGUUGUCCGGAAUUAUUGGGCGUAAAGGAGCUCGUAGGCGGUUUGUCACGUCGGCCGUGAAAACUCGGGGCUCAACCCCGAGCCUGCGGUCGAUACGGGCAGACUAGAGUGCUGUAGGGGAGACUGGAAUUCCUGGUGUAGCGGUGAAAUGCGCAGAUAUCAGGAGGAACACCGGUGGCGAAGGCGGGUCUCUGGGCAGUAACUGACGCUGAGGAGCGAAAGCGUGGGGAGCGAACAGG